rnacentral:rRNA from 1 species
UUUAUCCCGUUCUAACCUAUUGACCGCCAACUUGAAUACCAUAAGCAAGCUUUCAGCACCCAAGCGACUUUCAGAGGCCAGACGGAUAGCCCAAAGGGUAUUCGUUGCAAUCCUCGAUCCCAAUCGUCACAUCUACCAAAGGCUAUAACACUCCGAUCGAAACCGAAGCUACAUUCCUCCGAUCAUUUUAUGACGAUCAAAAUCGAUGUUGACCUACCAUACGAAAAAGUGCACUCCAAAGAUACCACCACAUAAGCAACGAAGACCGUGAGGCUCAACGUCACCCACGAUAGGCACCCGAAAAGUUGAUUUUCCGUCAGUACGACUG